AGCGCGGGUGCGAGUCGGAGGGUGCAAGCCCGUGGGCGAAGUGAAAGCGAGUUUAAAAACGAGCAGUUUGGGGCGGCAUAAGAUCGUUGAUCUUAAGACCGACCCAGAGCAGUUGCGCUGGGACCCGAAAGAUGGUGAACUAUGCCGGAGUAGGGCAAAGCCAGAGGAAACUCUGGUGGAGGCUCGUAGCGGUGCUGACGUGCAAAUCGCUCGUCGAACUUGGGUAUAGGGGCGAAAGACUAAUCGAACCAUCUAGUAGCUGGUUCCCUCCGAAGUUUCUCUCAGGAUAGCGGGCCGACAAGUUGUUUUGUGCGGUAAAGCGAAUGAUUAGCGCAAUCGGGGGCGUUUAGCCUUCGGGCGAUUCUCAAACUUUCAAUGCGCAAGGGUGCCGCUGCUUAAUUGAGCGGUACCGGUAAAAACGUCGGCCCUGUGGGCCACUUUUGGUAAGCAGAACUGGCGAUACGGGAUGAACCGUAAGCAAGGUUAAGGCGCCAAACUGCCCGCUUAUAGAUCCCACAAAAGGUGUUGAUUCAUCGAGACAGCAGGACGGUGGCCAUGGAAGUCGGAAUCCGCCAAGGAGUGUGUAACAACUCACCUGCCGAAUGAAUUAGCCCUGAAAAUGGAUGGCGCUUAAGCGGGCGGCCGACACCUUGCCGUCUGAACAAGAAUUUCAGAUGAGUAGGAGGGCGUGGCGGCCGUGUCGAAGCGCGCGUGCAGACGCGUGUGGAACGGCCGCUAGUGCAGAUCUUGGUGGUAGUAGCAAGUAUUCAAGCGAGAUCCUUGAAGGGCGAAGUGGGGAAGGGUUUCACGCGAACAUUGAUUGGGCGUGAGUGAGUCGUUCCUAAGCCGAGUGGCAAUUGCUAAUUAACGGCGAAAGGGAAGCGGGUUGACAUUCCCGCACACGGAUGUGGAGGCGGCGACGCAUUAUUGGGGCGAACACGCUGGCGAUGGCGCUGGGCAGAGUUGUCUUUUCUGUUUGACCGCUUGCGCACGCAGUGUGGAAUCCGCUUGUUGGGAGAAACACGCGUGUUCGGGCAGAGCGCUGGGGCU
rnacentral:rRNA from 2 species